rnacentral:rRNA from 1 species
GAUGAACGCUGGCGGCGUGCCUAAUACAUGCAAGUCGAGCGAACAGAUAAGGAGCUUGCUCCUUUGACGUUAGCGGCGGACGGGUGAGUAACACGUGGGUAACCUACCUAUAAGACUGGGAUAACUUCGGGAAACCGGAGCUAAUACCGGAUAACAUUUGGAACCGCAUGGUUCUAAAGUGAAAGAUGGUUUUGCUAUCACUUAUAGAUGGACCCGCGCCGUAUUAGCUAGUUGGUAAGGUAACGGCUUACCAAGGCGACGAUACGUAGCCGACCUGAGAGGGUGAUCGGCCACACUGGAACUGAGACACGGUCCAGACUCCUACGGGAGGCAGCAGUAGGGAAUCUUCCGCAAUGGGCGAAAGCCUGACGGAGCAACGCCGCGUGAGUGAUGAAGGGUUUCGGCUCGUAAAACUCUGUUAUUAGGGAAGAACAAAUGUGUAAGUAACUGUGCACAUCUUGACGGUACCUAAUCAGAAAGCCACGGCUAACUACGUGCCAGCCGCCGCCGUAACAC